GUGUUUGCUUUGGCAGCACACAGGCUAACACUGAGCAAUGCAGAGAAGAUUAGCAUGGGCCCUGUGCAAGGAUGACACGCAAAUUUGUGAAACAUUCCAUAUAGUU